rnacentral:rRNA from 1 species
UACGGGAGGCAGCAGUGGGGAAUAUUGCACAAUGGGCGCAAGCCUGAUGCAGCCAUGCCGCGUGUAUGAAGAAGGCCUUCGGGUUGUAAAGUACUUUCAGCGGGGAGGAAGGCGAUGCGGUUAAUAACCGCGUCGAUUGACGUUACCCGCAGAAGAAGCACCGGCUAACUCCGUGCCAGCAGCCGCGGUAAUACGGAGGGUGCAAGCGUUAAUCGGAAUUACUGGGCGUAAAGCGCACGCAGGCGGUCUGUUAAGUCAGAUGUGAAAUCCCCGGGCUUAACCUGGGAACUGCAUUUUGAACUGGCAGGCUUGAGUCUUGUAGAGGGGGUAGAAUUCCAGGUGUAGCGGUGAAAUGCGUAGAGAUCUGGAGGAAUACCGGUGGCGAAGGCGGCCCCUGGGACAAAGACUGACGCUCAGGGUGCGAAAGCGUGGGGAGCAAACGAGGGAUUAGGAUACC